GGGGCCGUAGUUCAGCUGGGAGAGCGCUUGACUGGCAGUCAAGAGGUCACGGGUUCGAAUCCCGUCGGCUCCA
rnacentral:tRNA from 1 species